rnacentral:lncRNA from 1 species
AUGCACUUAAUCAUUAGGUGGCGACUCUCCAAUUCAAACCCAAUUCCUAAAAGGGAAAUAGUUAUCCGCCCAAAUGUCGUAAACCUGAUUUUGCCCAAAAAAGGGGCAUCGAUAGUAGCCACUGGAGAGAAUGGGGCAAGAACAGAAGUAGCUGCAGUUGAAGAAUGGACUAAGGCACGAACAGAAGCCGUCUUAGUCAAAAAUGGGGCGGAAGCCGAGGACAUAGUAGCUUUCCUCUUUUGGAACGAGGGUGCGAGCUUUUGACCUCAUCGAAGAUCCCCUGGCCGAAGCUAAGAAAAACACAAAGAAAAGGAAAGGUCAACAAAGGUAAAGAAAAAGAAAAAAAAUCUAAUACUCCAAUGAUAAAAGGAACUUACGAGUCAAAGGAGAGCAUGCCUAAACUUCUUAAAGAGAACUGACCACUCACGGAUUCCUAUGAUGUGAGGGAAGAGCUGACCAACCUAGUUAGAAAUGUCUUCGACCAAAGAAGGAGGCGAGGUUUACCAAGCAUGGGAGAAAUAUCAGAUACCUACAAACAAGGAAAUUAGGUACUUACAACCACAUUUCCAAGCCUCAUGAAAACCGUCGACGUUGUCCACCACGUCCUUGGUUUUGAUGAAGAAGAAGUUUAACUAGAAUUGGCAGUUGGCUUUGUCGUCCAUCUUCAUCACCAAGCACUUACCUACUCGGUGGCAACAUUUCCCCCCUAUAAGCUAGGGGAGAGCAUAUGUAUUUAAUGUUGAAGUGUGAGUUCGACCUCGUCUAGCUUGGCAAAUCUGGUGAGCAUCCUUAUAAGUUUGUAAGCAUAUGAAACUCUAUGAAUUGGGAAAAUACCAUAAUAAUGACAGAAUUGCUCUGCCACCGAAGGGAGAGGGAGAGUGUAGCCAACAUGGAAAGGGUUAGCGUAGAAGGCGCAGUACCAGGACGAGGGACCUGCACCGUGUCCCACCCACCCGAGAUUAGUUCAAC